rnacentral:rRNA from 1 species
AUUGAACGCUGGCGGCAGGCCUAACACAUGCAAGUCGAACGGUAGCACAGAGAGCUUGCUCUCGGGUGACGAGUGGCGGACGGGUGAGUAAUGUCUGGGAAACUGCCCGAUGGAGGGGGAUAACUACUGGAAACGGUAGCUAAUACCGCAUAAUGUCGCAAGACCAAAGAGGGGGACCUUCGGGCCUCUUGCUAUCGGAUGUGCCCAGAUGGGAUUAGCUUGUUGGUGAGGUAAUGGCUCACCAAGGCGACGAUCCCUAGCUGGUCUGAGAGGAUGACCAGCCACACUGGAACUGAGACACGGUCCAGACUCCUACGGGAGGCAGCAGUGGGGAAUAUUGCACAAUGGGCGCAAGCCUGAUGCAGCCAUGCCGCGUGUGUGAAGAAGGCCUUCGGGUUGUAAAGCACUUUCAGCGGGGAGGAAGGCGAUACGGUUAAUAACCGUGUUGAUUGACGUUACCCGCAGAAGAAGCACCGGCUAACUCCGUG